CUAUAGAAUGAACAGUACGACUUGAUGCAUCCUAAAUUUUCGUUUGAGGUUAUGUCAUGAUAUAUACAAAAACGUAUCUGAGACGCUAUUUAGUGAUCAGGAUAUUGCAAUGAACAUAAUGAUAGAGCAUCAUAUCUAACAUUAGUUCAUACGUGUAGAAACCCAGGAAUAAGUAUUAGUAUAGGAAAAAGAGAUUGUUCAAAGAACUGAAUUUCCAAAUUAUAUAUAUGUUUUGGUGCCUUUAAACACUGAAUUGCUUGAGGGAUCUUUCUUAUUUUAGUUGCAUGUCUAUAUAUAUGUGGAUGCAGCCAUAUGUACUCUCUGUUUUUGGGGAGACAAAAAAGGUGGCUGCCUCAUUGAAGCGUUGGCUGCACACCAAAUUUACGCCUGCAACAGCAACCUACCGAGAUAUAACAAAGCAGGUAAAGACAUUUGUAGUUUUCUGAAUUGCUAUUUAGGAACAGUGUUAACAGCCCAAUGUUUAUGCAAACAAUUGCUAUGUAGUCCGAAACAGCUCUCACGAUGUUUUUUUUUCUGUACUUGCCUUGGUCAGCUUGACAUUAAGAUUUCAUUUCCAUGAUCGUGCUGCAUUCUUUGUUGAAUGUUUUUUCGUGUCCUGGCAUGCAUUGUAUGUUUCUCCCACGGACAGGUAUAUGCUAUAAAAAUUAAUUUCCACGCAGAUAUGCAGCACAUCACAAAGGAAAAUAAAUCACUUGAAUUGUAAAUCUUGCAAUCUGAAACCUGAGAUCAGAAUUUCUCAAUAUUGGAAGAUAGGAGAGAGUUUCAUGGUAUCUGAUCUACGCAUGAUAACAUGUUGCUUAGUGCAGGUGUAUCUCAAAGCUAGAUUUGUACGAGACCAACAAUGUCUCUUAUUCCUCUCAAAUGUUUUUAUUUUGACAAAAUUGGUUUUGUUCCAAUGAAAUAAUGUUAUCAUACAGGGUUGCAGCGACGUUAGUACUUGCUCUCAUACAGUUGUAUUUGAUAUAAAAUUCCCUAUGGCAAUUAUAUGCUAGUGAUGAUGCUUUUAAUCAUUUGCAUUUAGAUGCCACAAGUAUCAUUAUGAUCUAAUUUAAAAUGAAUGCGCAGGCAUUUGUAGGAAGAUCGUGGAGUCGGUUACCACUGUCCAUCGUGAGGUAUGUAUUAUUCAUAUGCUGUUAUCUAUGCUUACUCAGUACUCUACUCGUUGGAGAAGUGACUCGCUUGAGCUGGAAUUGACUACAUGGAUUAUAGGCAGAGUUCAUUGCUGAAUGCUGAUUGUUGUACAUUUCAGUUUGGACCGGGCACUGUUCUAGCAGUGCAGUGACUGAGUCAUCGAUAUAUAGGUUGGAAGGAAAAUUAAGAGAAUAGGAUUACCCUUGCUUGAACCAAAGCACUAGAUAAUCGAUGAUUAUUAGGGAGUUCGAACUGGACUCUCUUCCUAUUUUUCAAUGAAAACAUUUCCUUGUUAACUAUAUAGAUACUUUAUUUUUGAGAUAUACAUAUAUAUAUAGAUAGCUUGUUUGACUUGCUAUUUCUCACAAUUUGUAGGGCUUGUUUCUUGAGUGUGGUCUUACUUCUCAUAUGUGCUGGAGGUUUUUGCACACCGAUUUUGAAGAAUGAGUUUACUAUGGAUUUCUGUCCUCUAAAUACUUCUGACACUUGUCCAGUACCACUAUCCCAUCCGUUUAAAAGGCCUAUCCCUAUUCACAGUACAUGGUUAACUGAACACAUACUUGAGGCUCGAUCAGAACCCAUAACGCUUCAGGAUCAGAAACCUACAUGUAAUAAUUCACAAAGGUAAUAAUAAAAAAAUGUAUGAUGUUGAAGUUUCUCGUGAUCCUUUUGUUGUAUUUAACAUUUUAUCUACUCUGUAUUUUUAGCUCCGAUUUCCGGAUUGUCUCUAAGGGGGCGCCUAUAAUUUCAUUUGUUGCAAACUUGGGACCCUUGUAAGUAUUGGAGUCUGUACUCUUUAUUUGGAAACUAUAUAUGGAGCUAUAUCAAUAUACAAAAAUCAUAAAUCAAGCCUUUAGCUGUACAAUUUUUUUUUGACCUCUUUUGAAGUGCUCCAACUUACCUCCUAAGAGGUAUGGUAAGAGUUUAAUUUUGUCGGUGCAAUUCCCAGUCGUCAUAUAGACAAUGUCGCUAGCUUUAACAGCAAGUUAUGAUUUAAAGAGAAGACUUAAAUUUGUUCUUUUAUAUCGUCUGCUGCAACUGUUCCUUUGUUUUACCGCCCACUUUAAUUUCUCUUCUAGGAUGAAUAUUAUUGUCUGUGGCUGGUGUUCCUUUCUGAUUGUGCCUUAUGUUUUCCUUCCAGAAUUAAUGUGUAUGGAAUUGGACAAGUCAAUGAAAGAGGAAAGCAUCUUCUUGCUACUUCUUGUAUAUUCAUAUCUAUAUCAAAUUUCUUCUGGAAGCGGUAUCAACAGACGGAUGACUGUCCAAAUGGAUUCAUAAUAACCAUCUUAUUGCUGGCUGGUGUUGUGUAUUUGGUCUAUGCCUGUGUCUUUUGUCUCAACUCAGAAUCAGAUGUGAUCAUAGGAUUGUCAUUAUACUUAGUUAUUCUGGGUAUCUCUGUUAGUACAACAGUUGAUUGGAAAAGGUUAACAGCAAGUAUACUUGGCCUGAUUUGCAUGGGAAUUGGUCAUGUUGUUCGAGUUGCUACCAUUCGAAGAUAUCACCUUGGUAAUGUGAUAUUCGCCGGUUUUGGCUUGUGUGGUGGCCUCCCAGUAGUUUAUAGAAGGAACUGGCAGACUCAACCACUUUUUAUGGUAUAAUUACUUAAUGAGGAAACAUGUUGUUUACACAAAUUUCCAUAUAAUUACUUAAACUAAUGUAACUUUUGAACAUCUGGCAAAUCUGCAGGUCAGCACUUUGAUAUCAUCUGGAAGCAGGAUUAUUGAUUUCGGCAUGCAACUUUAUUAUUAUCGUAGAGCACCUAACGGUGAGGAUGAUGCCCAUGUCCCACCUUUGGUUCAAGUUGUACAUAAAGAUAUUGUGCAGUGCUCUAACCAGUUCCCUAUACCACAAGGCGUUCAUGAUGGACUUAUUGGUGGUCUAAAUGUUGCAGGUGAAGUUGGUGAUGCUGGAGGAGGUGCUCUAGAUAAUGGAGGAGGUGCUCUAGAUAAUGGAGGAGGUGCUCUAGAUGAUGGAGGAGGUGCUCUAGAUGGUGGAGGUGCUCUAGAUAAUGGAGGAGUUGCUCUUGAAAAUGGAGGAGGUGCUCUAGAUGGUGGAGGAGGUGCUCUAAAUGGUGGAGGAGGUGCUCUAGAUGAUGGAGGUGCUAUUGCGGAAGGUGGUGCUAUUGCGGAAGGAGCUGCUAUUCAGAAUGACCUUGCACCUGCUAUUGAUCAAGAAGAUGGUAAUUGAGGAGUUCGAGAAGUGGUGGCUGAGGCUCAAUUUGCUAUUACUCAGAAUGCCCCUGCACCUGCUGGUGCUCCAGAUGUUGAAGUUGCUACUGCUGCUGAUGGUGCUCUAGAUGUUGAUAUUGAUCAAGAAGAUGGUAAUGGAGGAGCUCUAAAAGUGGCGGCUGAUGCUCAAGUUGCUAUUAUUCAGAAUGCCCCUGCCCCAGCUGGUGCUCCAGAUGUUAAAGUUGCUACUGCUGCUGAUGCAGAGUAGCUAUCUACUGCACGUUAUUCCUUUUUGUUCUGCGUUUGAGCUUUAGGCGAACGGAUGAAAGGCAGUCCAAUAUCAUCACCAGCUUCAGACAAGCCGAUUGAGCUAGUGUAUUUGGGCAACUAAAUCAAUAGGCAAAUUGGAUUAGCUUCACCUUGUUCGCCUUAAGAGUCGUGGAUGAUUCUACGUAUAGUUAGGAACUGUACUUUUGUUAGGAAUUGUUACCUAGGAGGGUAGCUGCGUAGCUGGUUAUUUGUUUUUACUGUGAACGCUUGUGAAAGCCUAAGGGGGGUGACUGAGAGGAUUGCAGUGGCACUUUACGGCACUCCCAAGUGUUGGUGUUUAAGGAUACCCUGUUCUAAACUUUUUUACCUUUGCCAUUACGGUUUCAUAAUUCGUAAUUUGGCUGAGCUCCAAAAUAAUGCUUCUCUG
rnacentral:lncRNA from 1 species